rnacentral:rRNA from 1 species
AUUGAACGCUGGCGGCAUGCCUUACACAUGCAAGUCGAACGGUAACAGGCCGCAAGGUGCUGACGAGUGGCGAACGGGUGAGUAAUGCACCGGAACGUGCCCAGUAGUGGGGGAUAGCCCGGCGAAAGCCGGAUUAAUACCGCAUACGACCUGAGGGUGAAAGGGGGGGAUCGCAAGACCUCUCGCUAUUGGAGCGGCCGAUGUCAGAUUAGCUAGUUGGUGGGUUAAAGGCCUACCAAGGCAACGAUCUGUAGUUGGUCUGAGAGGACGACCAGCCACACUGGGACUGAGACACGGCCCAGACUCCUACGGGAGGCAGCAGUGGGGAAUAUUGCACAAUGGACGCAAGUCUGAUCCAGCCAUGCCGCGUGAAGGAUUAAGGUCCUCUGGAUUGUAAACUUCUUUUAUAAGGGACGAAAAAAGGUCUUUCUAGAUCGUCUGACGGUACCUUAUGAAUAAGCACCGGCUAACUCCGUGCCAGCCGCCGCAGUAAAAC